AACGAACGCUGGCGGCGGGCCUCAUACAUGCAAGUCGAGCGCGAAAGUCCGCAAGGAUGAGUAAAGCGGCGCACGGGUGAGUAACACGUGGAUAAUCUACCCUUUGGAUUGGAAUAACCUGUCGAAAGACGGGCUAAUGCCAAGUAAGCUUACAAGUUCGUGAAGUUCUUGUAAGGAAAGAUGGCGCAAGCAAUCGCCGAAGGAUGAGUCUGCGUCCCAUUAGUUAGUUGGUGGGGUAAUGGCUUACCAAGACAAUGAUGGGUACCUGGUCUGAGAGGAUGAUCAGGCACACUGGAACUGAAACACGGUCCAGACUCCUACGGGAGGCAGCAGUAGGGAAUAUUGCGCAAUGGACGAAAGUCUGACGCAGCCACGCCGCGUGAGUGA
rnacentral:rRNA from 1 species